rnacentral:rRNA from 1 species
UAACCUACCUAUAAGACUGGGAUAACUUCGGGAAACCGGAGCUAAUACCGGAUAAUAUUUCGAACCGCAUGGUUCGAUAGUGAAAGGUGGUUUUGCUAUCACUUAUAGAUGGACCCGCGCCGUAUUAGCUAGUUGGUAAGGUAACGGCUUACCAAGGCGACGAUACGUAGCCGACCUGAGAGGGUGAUCGGCCACACUGGAACUGAGACACGGUCCAGACUCCUACGGGAGGCAGCAGUU